AUGAACGCUAGCUACAGGCUUAACACAUGCAAGUCGAGGGGCAGCAUGGUCUUAGCUUGCUAAGACUGAUGGCGACCGGCGCACGGGUGAGUAACACGUAUCCAACCUGCCGUCUACUCUUGGACAGCCUUCUGAAAGGAAGAUUAAUACAAGAUGGCAUCAUGAGUCCGCAUGUUCACAUGAUUAAAGGUAUUCCGGUAGACGAUGGGGAUGCGUUCCAUUAGAUAGUAGGCGGGGUAACGGCCCACCUAGUCUUCGAUGGAUAGGGGUUCUGAGAGGAAGGUCCCCCACAUUGGAACUGAGACACGGUCCAAACUCCUACGGGAGGCAGCAGUGAGGAAUAUUGGUCAAUGGGCGAGAGCCUGAACCAGCCAAGUAGCGUGAAGGAUGACUGCCCUAUGGGUUGUAAACUUCUUUUAUAAAGGAAUAAAGUCGGGUAUGGAUACCCGUUUGCAUGUACUUUAUGAAUAAGGAUCGGCUAACUCCGUGCCAGCAGCCGCGGUAAUACGGAGGAUCCGAGCGUUAUCCGGAUUUAUUGGGUUUAAAGGGAGCGUAGAUGGAUGUUUAAGUCAGUUGUGAAAGUUUGCGGCUCAACCGUAAAAUUGCAGUUGAUACUGGAUAUCUUGAGUGCAGUUGAGGCAGGCGGAAUUCGUGGUGUAGCGGUGAAAUGCUUAGAUAUCACGAAGAACUCCGAUUGCGAAGGCAGCCUGCUAAGCUGCAACUGACAUUGAGGCUCGAAAGUGUGGGUAUCAAACGGGAUUAGAUACCCUGGUAGUCCACACGGUAAACGAUGAAUACUCGCUGUUUGCGAUAUACUGCAAGCGGCCAAGCGAAAGCGUUAAGUAUUCCACCUGGGGAGUACGCCGGCAACGGUGAAACUCAAAGGAAUUGACGGGGGCCCGCACAAGCGGAGGAACAUGUGGUUUAAUUCGAUGAUACGCGAGGAACCUUACCCGGGCUUAAAUUGCAGAUGAAUUACGGUGAAAGCCGUAAGCCGCAAGGCAUCUGUGAAGGUGCUGCAUGGUUGUCGUCAGCUCGUGCCGUGAGGUGUCGGCUUAAGUGCCAUAACGAGCGCAACCCUUGUUGUCAGUUACUAACAGGUUCCGCUGAGGACUCUGACAAGACUGCCAUCGUAAGAUGUGAGGAAGGUGGGGAUGACGUCAAAUCAGCACGGCCCUUACGUCCGGGGCUACACACGUGUUACAAUGGGGGGUACAGAGGGCCGCUACCACGCGAGUGGAUGCCAAUCCCCAAAACCUCUCUCAGUUCGGACUGGAGUCUGCAACCCGACUCCACGAAGCUGGAUUCGCUAGUAAUCGCGCAUCAGCCACGGCGCGGUGAAUACGUUCCCGGGCCUUGUACACACCGCCCGUCAAGCCAUGGGAGCCGGGGGUACCUGAAGUGCGUAACCGCGAGGAGCGCCCUAGGGUAAAACUGGUGACUGGGGCU
rnacentral:rRNA from 1 species